UUAAAUGGAAAUAAAAUAGAACAACACUAAGAAGCCUAUAACGUAUAAAUGACCCGACUGAAGUGAAAUAGGUAGAUCUUGGUAGGGUUGAGUUUUUUUUUUUUUGGGCACCUUCGUAGAGUUUAAUUUGAGUGAGAGGUCAAAAGUCAUUUGCAUUAUUCUUUCCUUUUUGUUCCGGUUCAAAUUUCACAUUUUGAAACAGAAAUGGCUUCGAAUCCUUCGCUUCUUCCUCAGAUCGGACCCGGUGCUUCGUCAGAGAAGCCCCUGUCAUUGCCUACACCGAGAAGGUCUUUGUAUUAUACAUAUGCACGUACCUGUUCAUUAUAAUUGUUGUAUUUGCUGAAUGCAGUUGUGAUUCAGUGUUGGUUAUGGCAUAUAAUCGAGGAAGAGCAGCUUCAAUUGACCAGGUAUAUUAAGGAAAAUUACUCAAAAAAUACGAGAUGUUGAGAGAGAGCUAGCAAAUCUUGCAAUGGAGAUGAAUAGAGCUGGACCUAAAAAAGCAGGUGGGUAUGAUAUUGUUAUGCUGCAAUUUUUCUCAAUUCCCUUUUUUAUUGUUUAUGGUUCACUUUGUGAUUAUUCUCAUCUAUGAUGCAUGCCUGAAGCACUUGAACACAUGAGAGAAAAUAGAAAUGUCAACUGAAAGAAUUUGUGCUGCCAAGCUGAAGGAUUGCAACACUCAGCUUAUUUCCUUGCCAUUUUUUGUGGUUUUAACCCUGAAUAAUAUGAGCACUGCUUGAAAUUAUUUAGCACACAGGUCCAGCACCCAAAAAAACUCAUUAGUUAGGAAGCAAGUCAACCUAGUUGACUGAGUCAUAUAAAGAGUGAAACUUGCAAGAUUAAAAAAUAAUAAUGAUAAUAAAGUAGUCUGUUUUGGCCAAAUUAUGAAUUAUCUUAAAGUGACUGACAAGAUGUGAUGAGGCUUUUAGUUGGCAAACGUUUAACAAUCAUAGGAUUUUAGAUAUCAUUUAUACGGUAGGAGUGACGAUGUUCUAGUAUUGCAUGUAAAAAGAGUACAAGCUACAACAUAGGGGAAGAUAUGCAACAUAUGUAAAUAUGUGGCUGCUGCUUCUUGAGUCUUAGUUUAUCUUUCUCUAAAUUUUAUCUUUUAAAUGGUGGAAUUUCUUUGGAAGCAAGAUUUUCUAUUUACUUCAUAGUUAUUAAAUAAAAUUGAGCAUCCUUUGAAGGAACUUUGCACCACUUGGAGACAUGAUUUUUCUUUCUUGACCACGGCAUACUCGUGGGAGUUUCUAGAUGUUUGUGGUUUUCCUUUAUAUACUCUAAGUAACUGAUAAUUGUAUUUCUCUUUAGCAUUGUUGUAUCUUUGCUUGAAUGUCUUUUAGGUUUGGGAAGCAUCAGCAAAAGCUGUGCAGGAUAAGGAAGCAAUUGAGCAAAAGUUAUAUGAAGACUUGAAUCAACUGGUCCCAGAAAGCAGUAACUCUCAGUUUUCUAGACUCGAGGAAUUAAAAAGACAACUGGAAGCUUCUAGCAGAGCAUCCACCUCUUCUCUUCACGUAAAUCUUUCUUUCCAAAAUAUUUAUCAUACUUUUAUGUUUGUGCAUUUACUUCAUGGACAGCACUCCCAUCCGAUUGGAAAACAGAAAGGUGUACUAAUGCUAAAGAUAUGCCGUAGUAUGAAAGAAAUCAAAUAUUCUGCCAAAGACAAGACCCAGUGCAUUAUAAAAGAUAUCAGAUAACCUUCACGAUUGCUUUUUAGGUUUUUUUUUUUCUUUCUUCAGCAAAAAUCCUUUUUUUAAAAAAUAUCCCUCCCCUCUCUAAUAGAAGCGGGAUCAUUUUUGUUAUUUAUUUUAUUUUCCUCUCCAAUAGAAGUGAGAUCCGUUUUUGAUAUUCAUUAUUUUUUCUAAGAUUCUCUUUCCUUGAUAAAGGAAUACAGAAUUUACUGAAACUGCACUGCACAAUUUGAAUGAAUGAUACGUACAGAUUGGGAUUAACUACUAGUUGUGUUAUAUACUGAUUUUUAUGGUCUUCUAUGGGUGCAAUAUGGUUUGACCUUACAACGGUUUGACCUUACAACAUAUCUGGGACGUAUCAAAUUCAACACAUGGAGUAAGUGAUCUAUUCUAUUGUAUUUUUGGGACUGGGCAUUCUUGACUGUGAUUCGCUAAUGAGUUUAGCAUCAACACAGACUCAGACGAUGUGGAAACAAAUUGACAGACAUAAGCACACAAACUCAUAUUUGAGGAUGUAUUUCCCCCUUAAAAAAAAAAAUAUUAUUGUAAGCUAACAUGUACUCAACCUUCUCCCUUGUGCAUGUUUGAGUUUCAGAUAAUUUGAGGUAAGGCAAGAAAAUACAUUGGAAGGGGAAACAAGGUAAAUAACAAAGUCGAGUCUUGGGAGAUCCAUCGAAUUAAUUUAACUCAUUAUGCACAUUUCACACAUUGAGAGUGUAUUCCUCCACCUAAACCCAGCACCACUUCCCUCCAAUCCCCACCGAAAAAGGCAGGGAGGGAGUGGUGGAAAAACGAUGAAUCACUCAAAUGAUUAUCUCGCUGUAGCCGACAUAUCUCAGUUCUAGGCCAAGUCUGAAGGAAAAAUGGUGUUUUUGAAGGACUGAAGAGAAAUUUGGCAAUUGAGGAGUGACUUCUACAGCCAAAGAUGUCAAAAACAAGUUUUCAAGCUGAAAUAUGCAUUGACCAAAUUGUGCAUAACUUACCGCAUAAGCUAUGCAGAUCUGCAUAAGGAGAAAAGUCACUGUUCUAAUACCUGCCGAAAUGUGCAUAAGGAGACUGCAUAGCUUAUGCACAUUCACGCCUCCCUUAUGCACUCUCACGGAAUUGUGCAUAACCUAUGCACCAAGUCAUGUAGUUUCGCGUAAGUGAACCAGAACCAGCCGAAAACUGCAUAAGGGACUGUAUAACUUAUGCAGUCCAUUUAUGCAGUUACAUAAAGGUUUCAUUAAUGAGCUGGCAGAAGAUUCCCUCAGAAAAUUCCUCCUAGAACACACCAUUUUAGGGCUCCAUGUCAGAAAAUGCUAUAAAUAGUCCCAUUUUCACCUUUUAGAGGGAGACAAGGAGCAAAAAAGGAAAGGAAGAGGAGAGGCAGAAUUUGAAGAGUCAUUUUCACCUUCCACACAAUUUUCAACCAAGAUUUGCAGAUUUCUUUCUUUCCUUAAAUUUUUCCUACCUUUCUAGAGUUUAAUUUCUUGUUUCUUAGUUUAGAUUAAAGCUUUAUUUCCAUUUAAACUCGUUAUAUCUUGUAAGCAUUAUGGGUAGUGAGUAGUUUACUUUUGAUUCUAGAGUAAGGGUUGUAAUAUUUGAUAUAUUUUGUGGAUUUUGAUUGGGUAAUCCAUAUUUAGUGGUCUUAAUGAGUUUUAUUCA